GCAGUACUUGGGAUCGUUGGUACGAUUCAUCUCUUCAAGGCGUUUGCAUUCAGGCAACUCAAUCACCUUCUUCUCCAGCAAGUCGUCCAGCAUUGCAUCCAUGUCGGAGUCCGGAAAAGGGUAUACCUUCUGCUUCAUUUCCCUCAAAGUGUUUUUGUACCUAUCUUGGGUGUAGGAAGGCUCACUUCUUUUUAUCUCCUUUGCUUUGUUAUUGAAGGAGAUUUUGACGGGUGCGGACGAGGUCUUGAUAGGGAUGGUUUUGGUGGUAAAAGCUUCCUUGGCGGGCUUUUUCCCAUGAUUGUCUGCUCUUGAAGUAAACACCUUAUCCCUUUUGAAAUCGGUGAUUGGCUCCUUCUUUCCAUGGUGGGCGAUGCUCAGUUCCAUGUCGUGGGCACGGGUGGCUAAUUCU
rnacentral:lncRNA from 1 species